GGAAGGUGUUGCUUUAGGUACUGCUUCUGUGGCUACAAGGUGCGAGGGGCAGCAAGUGCCUCUCCAAAGGAUGCGAGAGGUGACUGAUCUGUAAUCUCGCUUUGCCAGUAGUAUUCACAGAUUAAAUCAAAAUGCAGUCUGGCAAAAGGAUUCACUUGAGAAGCUCUGGUGUAUUUUGACUCACUCUACUGGUGGUGUGGAAAGGUGAUGCUUUACAGAACUUCAUUUGAAGAGGAACUGUCACUCACAGUGGCUGUACCUGUGCUGCGGCUUGGACCCAGCUGAGCUGGGAGCUUACCAAGCGACUCAGAAGAAGAAAGGACUUGGCUCCAAGCACUUGAGGUUUUGCUCAAACUUCUGAGCUCUCCAGUAUGAGAGAGCUCACAGGGCAGGAAUCAAGCUGUAAUUGUCUCCGAGGACCAUAAUAAACCUGAUUUUUCUCAGCUAGGUUUGGUGGUGGUCAAACAGCUGUCUAGAGUCUGGGAAGAAUUGCUUGGAUUGGUACUUCUCUAAGUGGGAUUUGGUGGGGCUGUGUGAUGUGGCUCGGGGUAGUUGCUUGUGGACAGCUAGAAAGCCUGCUGCCAAGUUAUUUGAGGAAAGUGCAAGCUAUCUGUGUAUCUGCUGUACUGCUGUGGUUUUCCAAAAUUAAGGCUGUGUUCCCUUUCCCCUACUUAAGAUUUUCUUG